rnacentral:rRNA from 1 species
AGGACGAACGCUGGCGGCGUGCUUAACACAUGCAAGUCGAGCGGAAAGGCCCUUCGGGGUACUCGAGCGGCGAACGGGUGAGUAACACGUGAGUAAUCUGCCCCUAGCUCUGGGAUAGCUCCGGGAAACCGGGAUUAAUACCAGAUACGACCACUUUAGACAUCUGCUGUGGUGGAAAGAAUUUCGGCUAGGGAUGAGCUCGCGGCCUAUCAGCUUGUUGGUGAGGUAACGGCUCACCAAGGCGACGACGGGUAGCCGGCCUGAGAGGGCGACCGGCCACACUGGGGACUGAGACACGGCCCAGACUCCUACGGGAGGCAGCAGUGGGGAAUAUUGCGCAAUGGGCGAAAGCCUGACGCAGCGACGCCGCGUGGGGGAUGAAGGCCUUCGGGUUGUAAACCCCUUUCAGCAGGGACGAAGCGAAAGUGACGGUACCUGCAGAAGAAGCGCCGGCUAACUACGUGCCAGCAGCCGC